CUUAGGGGAACUUGCGGAAGACAUUAC
rnacentral:rRNA from 1 species